rnacentral:rRNA from 1 species
GNUUUAACACAUGCAAGUCCGCACCGGUGAAACGUUGGAGCUCGCUCCGAGGGGAUGCAGUGGCGAACGGGUGAGUAACACGUGAGUAACCUGCCCCGGACUUUGGAAUAAGCGCUGGAAACGGCGUCUAAUACCGGAUACGAGACGCAACCGCAUGGUUAGUGUCUGGAAAGUUUUUCGGUCUGGGAUGGACUCGCGGCCUAUCAGCUUGUUGGUGAGGUAAUGGCUCGCCAAGGCGACGACGGGUAGCCGGCCUGAGAGGGCGACCGGCCACACUGGGACUGAGACACGGCCCAGACUCCUACGGGAGGCAGCAGUGGGGAAUAUUGCACAAUGGGCGAAAGCCUGAUGCAGCGACGCCGCGCGAGGG